rnacentral:rRNA from 1 species
CAGUAGCCACGGUAAAACGGAGGGGGCUAGCGUUGUUCGGAAUUACUGGGCGUAAAGCGCACGUAGGCGGCUUGGUAAGUUAGAGGUGAGAGCCCGGAGCUCAACUCCGGAAUUGCCUUUAAGACUGCCGAGCUAGUAGGUGAGAGAGGUAAGUGGAAUUCCGAGUGUAAAGGUGAAAUUCGUAGAUAUUCGGAAGAACACCAGUGGCGAAGGCGGCUUACUGGCUCAUUCUAGACGCUGAGGCGCGAAAGCUAGGGGAGCAAACAGGAUUAGAUACCCCCGUAGUCCCUGUCUCUUAUAC